UAUCAUGGAGCUAAUCAUUUUUAUGUUUUAUCAUGUUUCAGAGAUGCACCAGGACAUUUAGCCAGGACAGAUAUUAAUAUAUCUGAUGCUGAGGAUCGGGAUCCACCUGAAACAAAUCCAGAAAAAAAACUUCUUGCUACAGAGAGGAGACAGACAUUACAUUACCUGACAUCGUAGCAAAGCUGUCGCUUCCUGUUGAUCAUAAAAGAGUCCGCUGGUUCAACGUCUCAAGGGGCUAAUGUUUGGGAUGGGGCAGUCAAGAGGUGUCAAGGGUACAACAUAUUCUGAAACCUGUGACAUGCUGGUCCAAUUUACUGAUGAUACUGGUGGUCUGGAAGAGGGAACUGACACUGGUGGUCCAAGACGAGAGUUUUUAACUCUACUAAUGAAACGCCUAAAAGACCGGCCCAUUUUUGAUGGACCAGAAGGACAUCAGUUCUCGGUCUACAAUGCAAAUGGCCAGCCUUCAUUCAAAGCACCAAUUCAUUUAAUAACUGAUUGAGAAAUAGGGAAAGCUUUGCAAGAGAUUGAGAAUGCUGCGUCAUUGGAUGCUCUGCAAGAAUGUCUGAUGAGACACAGCACAAGGUUACGGACUACUGUGGAAGAAAAGAAAGAAAUCAUGUCAGACUACCUCCAAUGGUAUAGACAGCAGGUAAAGAGCACCUACAGACUGGCCAAAGACUGGCCAAAAACUAAAGAUGUCCCUGCUUCAGAGGUUUUUUUUCCAGGAGGGUUCUGGUCCCCGAUCCCUCUCAGAGGAAUCCCUUCCUCUCCCUCUUUUUGAUCCUUUGGUUCUUCUGUGAGAAGAGAAGCUCCAAUGAUGAGACUAUCUGCCCCCAUGCCCUCCACAACCUCCAACAAUACAUCCUAAUAAUCAUUUGGCUUACCUUGGUCUCCAGCUCUUCCAUCCACCGCCUGCACUGGCCCGUUGUGAGCCACCGGAGCAUCUGGGUCGCUCUGCCUCACAUCUUCAAAACGUCGACCACAGGGAAAAGAUAAGAGGAAGGGACACCUUCCAUAAAAACCUCCAGCUGAAAGAGGAAGAAGAUGGAAUAAUGCACACUUUCCAGGUAGAAAAGGUCUAGACCACACUCUAUGAUUUACAGAGCCAACGAUUGCAUUUUAAGGUUAGGUAAUAGUAGAUAGUUACAUCAAGGUUUGGUCUGUGACAGGACACAAACUAUAUCUUCUAGCAUUCUCCAAAAUAAACCUAAUGUCCAGCAUCUCUGCACUGGUGCAGGAUGUUUUUAAGUUUACUGGCAACACCUGUCAGUGACGUAGGUUUGGGUCAGACAAACAACUUUGUGUCUCUUUAAAUGGUUAAGCAUCAGUAAUAAAAAGCUGAAAAAUGUAUAACUUACGGAUCACCCCAGCGAUGAUGGCUAAGGCUGUGACGGCUAUGACUAUGACAGCUAUGACUAUGCCGGCGAUGGCCCCGCCAGACAAAGUGUUGGUAGAGCCAGUGCUGUUACCAUCUGAAAGAAUGUAGGAGAGAUAUUAACAUUAGUGUUACUGCAAACUCCCAACAUUACACCGAUCUGUUCAUCUGUUUUCUCUACCAGCUGUUCAGACUAUCCCUCCAGGCUUUUGGCGAGAGGCAGGAACACAAAAAAAGACAAGUUUUUGAUCAGGGGGAAGCGUACACCAGCUGAUAGAACAACUCUGAUAUUACAAACCAUUCUGACAGGUUUUUAAAUGGUUCUCAUCCACCGGUUAACAGACCUAGAUAACUCCUUUAGUAACCGGGGUAAACUCGGAUUACACAUCUCGCGCAUUCUCCGUAGGUUAUAACUGCCCCCACCCUACUCCGCUGCAAUGGGUUUUGACCUGGACAUAGAAGAGAGCAGUUGGAAGCAACGGUGCUAAAAACAAGAGCAACAACGUCACUUUACAACCUUUAAACCCACUGAGGACUUCGCCACGGCAAGAACUAUCAACAAGACCCGUUUCUGGACCGACCAGGAGACUCAUUUCUCCCCGCUUUCCAAGUUGUUAGAAUCUCUCUCAUUGUGGUAGAAAUGACCUUUUAGAAUAUUCUCCUGAAACAUUAAAACAAUCAACUCUCGGAGAAAAUGACUGAACUGAAUAAACUUGGGUCGCAAAGUGCUUUACAGUUACAAUAAAUAAUAAAAUUCAUCUUUGAGAAAAUAUGUAAACUUGUAAUAACACAGGUCCAAUAAUAAUGAGUUAUGGGGCUUCAUUUAUAAAACUGUGCGGCGACGAAAUAUAGGAUGUGAGAACGCACAGAAAUAUUCUGAAUUAUAAAACGCCGGUUUCCCUUUUAUAAAUCACAACCGACUCUAAAUGUGGCACAGCUUUGGCAGCUUUAUGUCUUAU